ensembl:lncRNA
CUAAAAGCACAACCAGGUCCAGCAGCACCACAAGCUGCAGCAGCACCAGCAUCUGCUCUAGCUCCAAAGACUACAGCAGCACCACCACCUCCUAGAGCUCCACAGGAUACAGCACCAGUGGCAUCACUUGCAUCACCACCAGUGAAAACCCCACAACUAUCUCCAGUUCCACAAGGCAUACCAACAACAGUAUCAGAUCCAGGGUCAAGAGACACACUAAGAAAACGCACCACCAGAACCAGCCACAAUUGCUACAGCACAAGGACGCGCUACAGCUCUACAAACUAAAUCCCAAACAGCGGCAGACCCAGCCUCGCAGACCACAGUGGCAGACCCAGUCUCGCAGACCACAGCGGCAGACCCAGCCUCGCAGACCACAGCGGCAGACCCAGCCUCGCAGACCACAGCGGCAGACCCAGCCUCGCAGACCACAGCGGCAGACCCAGCCUCGCAGACCACAGCUCCAAAAGCUACAUCACCAGUAGACUCAGAUCCACAAGCUACAACGCACAAGCCUCAGCUCCAUCUACAGCACAAACCGUAGAAGAAACAGUUCCGCUAGUGACAGCAGCACCAGCCACAGCCCCACGAGCUACCCCUGCACCACCUCCAGCAUCACCACCUCAAAGAUAUACUGAAGCUGUUGCAGAGAAAUAUAUAAUGGAUGCCUGGGCUGGAAAGAAUCCUCACGUUCUACUGUCAAAAAAAGGUGGUUACAAAUUAUUCUACUGAGAUAGCCAACAAAUUGGUCUUGACAUGGAGUUGGAAAGUGAGGUACAGUGAUCUUUACUGACAGCUAUGUAACUAUCAGUGUUUUAUUCCUUGUGAUGGACCGAGCAGUGAAAGAGAGUCAGGCACAGGUUUGAGUCCCAAAAAAAAGGGUUUUUAUUUAACCCAAAAAAUAGUUGGUUAAAUCUUACAAAAAAAAAUCAAAAUCUUGGGCCCAUAAAAGAGGUCAAAAUAACAGAACUCUACUCAAAGUUAAGAAACAAUACUGAUAACUCAAACAAACUGACCUAACUAAACAAGACAAAGAGGAAACUUAAAUAGUGGCUGAUCAGCCCACAGAAAACACAAAAAGGGGUAUAACACACAAAAAACCUAACUGAAACUGACAUAAUGAACUCCAAUUCCCCCCCCAUGGUUCCGAGUUAUGGAAUGAGCCAAUUUGCAGUUUUCCAUCAAGGCUCGCGCUGCCCCUUUUCCACCUCUUGGCUCCUCAAUCAAGGGACUGGAGCAGCUGCCACUAAGGUAACUCAGAAAAUGAUUAAAUCAUACAUCACAGUGUAAACUAGUGAUGGGUAGAUGAGGCCUCGUGAAGCUUUUCAGCACAUUCCCCAAACUGUAUCGAUACUGUGUUGCUGUUUUGCUCCAUACUGACACCUGCUGGACCUUAAAUAUCAUUGCAGGCAACUUACUUGAGACUUAGAACAGACACUGAUUCAAUGACCUAGUCGUACUUUCCAUGGAAUCAUUUUAUAUCUUUUACAUUUCAAAUAUUGUAGAGAUCUUUAAAAAUAUAUUGUGAAUGACAUUAAGUGAAAAAUUAAAAUGAAAGUAUUGUGAAUGUAAUAUUACCCAUUUAAAUGUAACUGACUCAGAGUUUAUUAUAAAUUUUUAUUCAGAAAAAUACGUUUAUCCAAUGUUUUUGCAUUCAGUCUAUUGCGGUUUUUUGACACCAUUUCCCCAGCUUUGGAAAACACACGCUCACAGGCACAGAUGAAGCUGGGGUACACAAAAACUGUAAAGGCAGGUGGAAAAGGUUCGGAUAAGAUGUCUUCCUAUGCCCCCAGUACGUUAAAGGAUCCUCUGAUCCUGGAAUGUUUCUCUCCGCCAAGUAGCACUGGACCUCAAUGAUGGAGUCCACUGUUGCAUUGUUGAUUUGUCUGCCAACUUCUUCAUCGUGCCGCUGCCACAGGUUUUCUGAAAUAAUAAUGAAUAAAAAAAAAUAAUGAAGCAGUGAAUGUUUUUUGGGAACGAUAAUAUAAAAUAAAAUAAAAUAAAAUAAAAUGGCCGUAAUGCAGCAUCUUCCUGUGGCUAAGCCUCUUCCUGCCUCUCUCUCUCUCCCUCACCUGUACUCCUGAGCAUGAUCUACCUAAUCAGCAGGGAGCUGCAGGGUGAGGAGGUGUGAGGGAGACAGCCAGCAGUGAAGAUGACCAGGCAGACCGAUGUCGACAUACCGGGUGAGCCUUGCUACAUAUUAUAAAGCCCUCGGCUUCAUG